CAGCUUGUUGGUGAGGUAAUGGCUCACCAAGGCGUCGACGGGUAGCCGGCCUGAGAGGGUGACCGGCCACACUGGGACUGAGACACGGCCCAGACUCCUACGGGAGGCAGCAGUGGGGAAUAUUGCACAAUGGGCGCAAGCCUGAUGCAGCAACGCCGCGUGAGGGAUGACGGCCUUCGGGUUGUAAACCUCUUUUAGCAGGGAAGAAGCGAAAGUGACGGUACCUGCAGAAAAAGCGCCGGCUAACUACGUGCCAGCAGCCGCGGUAAUACGUAGGGCGCAAGCGUUAUCCGGAAUUAUUGGGCGUAAAGAGCUCGUAGGCGGUUUGUCGCGUCUGCUGUGAAAUCCCGAGGCUCAACCUCGGGCCUGCAGUGGGUACGGGCAGACUAGAGUGCGGUAGGGGAGAUUGGAAUUCCUGGUGUAGCGGUGGAAUGCGCAGAUAUCAGGAGGAACACCGAUGGCGAAGGCAGAUCUCUGGGCCGUAACUGACGCUGAGGAGCGAAAGGGUGGGGAGCAAACAGGCUUAGAUACCCUGGUAGUCCACCCCGU
rnacentral:rRNA from 1 species